rnacentral:tRNA from 1 species
UCCCAUGGUGUAAUGGUCAGCACUCAGGACUCUGAAUCCUAAAAUGUGAGUUCAAAUCUCAGUAGGA